rnacentral:rRNA from 1 species
UACCCUGAACGGUGGAUCACUUGGCUCGUGGGUCGAUGAAAAACGCAGCUAAAACGCGCGUUGACGUGUGAACUGCAGGACACAUGAACAUCGACAAUUUGAACGCACAUUGCGGCCCUGGGAUAUUAUUCCAAGGGCCACGCCUGUCUGAGGGUCG